GGCUGGGUAGCUCAGCUGGUACGAGCGUCCGCCUGAAAAGCGGAAGGUCCCCGGUUCGACCCCGGGCCCAGCCACCA
rnacentral:tRNA from 1 species